GCGAGUAUGGUCCUCACGGGUCUAAUCCACCAUAAACACCUUUGUGAACCAGUCAGGGGGACUCGGCCGUGAAAGCCCAGGCGAUUAGCGGAAGGGCCCUCCUUUGCAAACCCGUUUAGAAGUCUUGAAAGUACUUUUGUAUAAUCUAGUA
rnacentral:misc_RNA from 1 species